AAAUUGGUGACGUGGAUACUUCCUCAUUCACUAGUUGACGCCUAACCCAUUUAAAAAUCUGAGGCCAUUAUUGUUCUAGGUUUUUCAGUUUACACUAGGCUAGAACAUUCAAGUAAUACAACAUAAUUUGACCCCAAAAUUGUGCCACGAUUUUACCACAAAAAUUCGACACGUGACCAAUGUGUGUAUACGCCAAUUUGAAGCGCGCAAGUAGGCAAAGAGUGGAUGGAAGUGCCAAAAUAACAGUUCAAGCAAGAAUUGAUGGGAUCAUUUCUUUUGCUAAUCAUCGUUUCAAUAUUAUUCGUGCUUUUUAACUAAUUAAAUUAUUUUCCAGCAGUACUGGCUGCUUGCAGGUCUUGUUUAAUCUUCAAGGAUCCAGUUGUUAUGAAGGUUGUUCAGAGGGAGCAAUAAAGCCAGUUAUAGAACAGGAGAUGUUUCAGGUUGACAAGUCCACACAGUUUUCAGGGCACGGAAUCUACACAAAAUUACUGUUAAUGAUACCUUAGGGUAUGAAAGAAAAUAAUGUCAUCUUAGUAAGAAAUUCAUGCUCCAAAAGAACAUUUAUUAGGGCACCUAAGAAAGGUUAUUAGUCCUUCUUUAUGCCAAAAUGUAUCUGCGUCUUCGGAAUUGCAGUUACUUGUAUGGGGUAUUUGCAAGCUUGUAUACAUAAUUAGCGAACAUAUCGUAUUCUCUUCGACCUCCUACUUCAUUAAUCGGUACAGCAUCAGAAAUUUCUUUCA